rnacentral:misc_RNA from 1 species
ACAAACUUGGUCAUUUAGAGGAAGUAAAAGUCGUAACAAGGUUUCCGUAGGUGAACCUGCGGAAGGAUCAUCACAUGAUACCUAUGGGGGCAUCUAGUCCGGGCAACCGGCUAGCAUGCUACCCUAAUCUUGUGUGCACUGUUGUUAAGCAUCGUGCGAGACCGCCGCGCGGGCAGCGCGCGCGCUUUGCUUAGAGAUGCGCCACUAGGCGGGUCUAGAUUGUGAGGCUUGGCGAGACUAGCGGCACGUGUGAUGAGAUAUACACAUGUGCAUGUCAGCUCGCCAACCUCUCCAUCUUUGACUCGCGGCGCUUUCUCGAGUAGUGCGCGCGCGUAUGCCCCGUGGCUGGCUGCGCGCUUAUGUGUUAUUAAACCAAUCAUUUAACCCAUGUCUAAUGCACUUUAAAUUUAAAUUUAAAACUUUUAACAAUGGAUCUCUUGGCUCUCGCAUCGAUGAAGAACGCAGC